AUGCUCCCAGGUACCUGUAAUUGUGAUCUAUUUGCCAGAACCAAGGGGUCUUUCUGUGGAAACCUUCACGAGCAAUCGUCGUUUUUUGAUGGGUUUUCCGCUUUUCACAGCUGCUCUUUCCACACCCCCGGAUAUCUGGUGCCAAACCGUCGCCCCUUUCCUUAUAUAUUUGAUAAUCGAGUUUGCUAUCUUUGUGGCAUUGAUUGUACAAGUUCGUGA
rnacentral:rRNA from 1 species